CUUCUCUUCAAGUUGGACAUUCGGAAGGCAUUUGAUUCAGUCAAUUGGGAGUAUAUCAUUGACCUCCUCCUCCGUAGGGGGUUCCCGAGCAUUUUCAGAGAUUGGAUCACCGCCCUACUUUGCUCCUCUUCCUCGCGGAUUCUUCUUAACGGCGUCGCUGGCAGCCCCAUCAUCCAUGGCCAGGGUCUCCGGCAAGGGGACCCUAUAUCCCCCUUUCUAUUUGUGCUCGCGAUCGACCCACUCCAAAGAAUUCUUGAGAUGGCGGCAACUAGAGGGCUAUUUCAUAAAAUCCGUGGCCGUGGGGUUCUUUUACGAACCUCCCUUUAUGCGGACGACGCGGCGGUCUUCAUGGCACCCAUCAAGCGCGAUAUUGACCACCUCUCCAACAUCCUUCGUCUUUUUGGUGAUGUCACCGGUCUAGCCACCAACUUUCACAAGAGCUCGGUCAUCCCAAUCCGUUGUGGGCACAUCAACCUGUCGGACAUCCUUCAAAAGCUUCCG
rnacentral:rRNA from 1 species